GGACUACCGGGGUUUCUAAUCCUGUUUGCUCCCCACGCUUUCGCACCUCAGCGUCAAUACAUGUCCAGUGAGCCGCCUUCGCCACUGGUGUUCUUCCGAAUAUCUACGAAUUUCACCUCUACACUCGGAAUUCCACUCACCUCUCCAUGAUUCUAGCUAUCUAGUUUCAAAGGCAGUUCUGGAGUUAAGCUCCAGGCUUUCACCUCUGACUUGAAUAGCCGCCUACGUGCGCUUUACGCCCAGUAAUUCCGAACAACGCUAGCCCCCUCCGUAUUACCGCGGCUGCUGGCAC
rnacentral:rRNA from 1 species